GGAGUGAUGACCGAGAGGCCGAAGGUGCUCCCCUGCUAAGGGAGUAUGCGCCCAAAAGCGCAUCGAGGGUUCGAAUCCCUCUCACUCCGCCA
rnacentral:tRNA from 1 species